AUGUCCUGCUCCGCCGCCCGCACCGCCGUGGCCGCCUCCUCGCACCUAGCCUCCAGGAGCCUCGCCCUCGCGUCGUACUCGUCGGCGAUGGCGUCCUCGGCCCUCUUCACCACGGCGGCCAGGAAACUCCCCGCGGCGUCAUCCCCGCGCAGGCCCAUGAGCUGGUGGUGGAGCUCGGGCGGCACCGCUUCCUGGGCUGGCGCAGCGACGGCGGCCGGGUGCUGCUGGGUGUCGGAGGCCAGGGCGCUCUCGGUGGCGAGGUGGUGGUGCGCGUCGGAGGCCAGGGCGCUCUCGGCAGCGAGGUGGUGGCGCGCGUCGGAUGCCAGGGCGCUCUCGGCGGCGGGGUGGUGCUGCGCAUCGGAGGCCAGGGCGCUCUCGGCGGUGGGGUGGCGCUGCGCGCCGGAGGCGAUGGCGUCGAGGACCUCGCCGGCGUCGGCGUUGGCGUCGUCCAUGGGCACGUUGUCGUCGCUUGACAUGCAAAUGCAGAGAGUGGGUUUGCGUUGGGUAGGAUGGAUUUGCACUUUCUGUAGUACUACAGCAUACAGUACUAGUUCAGUCGAUGGUUUAUUAAAUUCAGCGCAUUUCUUUUGCAAAGCUUUCUUCAUCAGUUUUCUUUUGCAAGCUUUCUUUAUCAUACCAUCUUCAUGCACAAAUAUCUUCUCUAGAACUAUUUUAAGCACUGUUAUUGUUCAGGGAGAUAUUAUGCUUGACGAGUGUUGUCAGCAUGAGGUGAGUGUUGGAUAA
rnacentral:rRNA from 1 species